rnacentral:lncRNA from 1 species
UGAGAUUCAGAGUCAUCUUUUUGUUCCAGAAAAUUAUUUAGGGUUUAGGGUUUAGAGGCGAAAAGAUAAUAACUUACCCAGUCAAGAAGGUUGAAGGUCUCGACUCUGGAAAGUGUGAUCGUGUUGCUUCUUCCAUGAACGAUUUCUAGGGCCACAACUCCAAAACUAUAGACGUCUGCUUUAUCUGUCAAAUGACCUUUCAUGGCGUAUUCUGGAGCCAUGUAUCCGCUGCAUAAACAAGUUUGUUUUGGUUAUAAGAAAUCUUCAUAGAGCUGAAACUUCUUGUUUGACUCACUAUGUUCCUGCGACUCGUGUGCUGAUGUGUGUGUUUUCUUCUUCAUCAAGCUUAGCAAGACCGAAAUCCGAAAUCUUUGCGUUGAGUUCCUUAUCUAGCAAGACAUUAGUGGCUUUGAUGUCUCUGUGUACAAUCUUGAGUCUUGAUUCCUCAUGAAGAUAAGCUAAACCUCUAGUCUUUCCAUCGUUGAUAGAAUCAAGCUUCAUCACACUCCCAAUCUUCUCACUCACUAUAUCUACCAAAUACGGAUUCCUAUCAAACUUUAUUUCAACUCCAUACUCCUGAAAACAUUAAGCAUUUAUGGUUUAGUUUGGUUUAACUCAUCCCAGUUUUCUAUUUGACAGAUAUAUUUUGCGUAACCAGAACGAGUGUAUUAUUAUUACCUGGAAUGUGAAGGUUGAGAUAGUGUCUUCUGUGGUCAUAGUAUCGGGAGACUUGGGAACAGAAGAGUUGAGCAUACAUGUCAAAGACUGCCAUUGAUUUAGGCUAAGAGAAUCACCUACAAACAUUAUCUUCUUCCCUCUAUUUUUCUGCAAAAAAUCUACUCCAUUGAACCUACACAACAAAACAGUAAAAUAACGGUGGCUUCUUAAGGAAAGUGUGAUAAAUGAUAAUUAACGUGAAAAUCAAGAAAUUUGCUGGCUUGUGUGUUUGUUAUAUAUUCACAAUCGCACACUUGGAUCUUCAAAAAUAUACUAAGACUUCGGGACCUAGUAGUAAAUUGGAAUAGAAUCAUACCUGGAAACGGAAGUAGAUGCAAGUUCUGGACUUCUCCUUGGUCCCCUUUUGGUCAGUUGAUCUCCUACUUAGGGAACUCUGGUCCACGAACAACAGGCAUUCCGAUUACUGCCACGUUGGCUUCUCUUUGGAUCAACAACUCUUGGGCUCUGCCUUCGGCACGAUCAAACAAGAUGGAAGAGGUUUUGACUCAUCUUACUACAAUCUCCCUGUCUCUAUGUACGGAUAUUGCCGUCUGGGACACCUCAGGCUCUGGUCAAAACCAAAAGUUCUCCUCGGGUCAAAUUUACAAUCUAAUCAGAGAACAGAAGCCGGAAGUUCCAUGGAAAAACUUAGUCUGGCAAAAAAAGGGUAUUCCUAAAUUCAAAACUCUGACCUGGCUUUUUAUUCUUGAUCGUUGCCCAACUAGAAAUCGUUUGAUAAGCUGGGGCCUUCAAUCUGAUCCUACUUGCCUACUUUGUAAUCGUGAACCGGAGUCAAGGCAUCAUCUCUUCUUCUGAUGUGAUUACUCCUUCUCAGUUUGGGGCACACUUGCUAGAAACCUCAAUCUUCUCUUGCCGUCAAACUCUUGGAAUGAUACUCUUGAAGUUUUGAUAAAUCUGAAUGGGGAUCGCCACCUGCGGUUUCUGAUAACUCUGGCUUGGCAGGCUUCAAUCUAUGAGCUUUGGAGAGAACGCAACAACAGGCUCCACCGAAAAGUUUAUCGCUCCUCCUCUGCCAUUCUUUCAUCAAUUAAAGCGGUGAUCAAAAACAGGAUCUCUUCUUUCAGGGAUAUCAACGGCGACUUCUCCAGCACCACCAUGCAACUGUGGUUUGCUUCAGUUUGAAAGGGACGAUCGUUGUUCAGUCAAGCUCCGUGCUCACCUACUACACCUCUUCAAUUUCUCGUAAAGAAAAAAUGGGUCUCGUUGGGCCAUCCAUACACUUUCUCAAUAUUUUACUACGUGCUUCAAGCCCAAUUGGCCAUCUUCAGUCUCCCAUCUAGUAAUGUCAAAUGGGUGGGCUAUAAAUGGGUGGCCCGUGUCCAAAUAGAUAUGGACCGAAAUGGACAAGCCCAUAUUGAACCAUAAAUAAUUUUUGUCCAAAUGGGUGAACCCAACUACAUCUAUGGCCAAAUUUGGGCUUAACCAGUUGGACAAUGGGCGGCCCAAUAGGAUUAAAUGUCUAGGGUUUGAGAAUUGGGGAAAACACAAUUUUUUUUCUCACGAGUCGUGAGAGACAGAGAGAGCGCUUCUGCGAUUCUUCUUCGAUUCUUCUUUCUCAUUUUCGAUUCCUCUUCCUUGUAUUCGAUUCGUCUUCCUCUUCUUCGUUCUUCUUUGGUUCUCCUUCGAUUCCUUUGAUUCUCCUUCGAUUUCUGAGGCCAAAAACAAUCCUAAUCCCUUCGAUGGCCAGAAACAAGCUUUUGUUGUGGUUGUGGGUCGAGUCAGCACUGGCAUAGAAGCAAAACUAAAGGUUGAAAAUCUUUGAUUAGUUCCCUAAUUUUGGUUUGUUCUCGCACAAAUCAUGAAAUGGUUAAUUGUUGUCGAUGAACUUUUCAGGUGCUUUAUGGGUCUGGAGCUAGGAAGUUUGCGAGAAGCUGUUGCAGCUCUUGGUUGACUUCUCACGAAGGUAUUGUUUCGUUAUCUUCUCUUGAAUUUGUUUGCUCGCAAUAAACAUGACAAUAAGUUAAUACAGUUUUUGAACUGAUGUGUAGAUACGUUGGUUGUUUAAUUAAUAGAAAAACCAAAGUUGGUUUAGGUUGAUAUCUCCUCGUACAACUAUGGCUGAGCUGUUGAUGGCUGUGUUAUUUAAUUAAUACAUAACUAUGUAUAUGUUUGACGUGUUGUUGUUAUGUGGAUGAUGAAGUGUCUACUUAUUGUUAACUGAUGAUUUCUCUUAUUUGUUUAUUCCAAUAACGUGAUGAGUCUUGACUUUGCAAUCCUUUUUAAUUUUAAAAUCCUUUUGACUUUGCAAUCUAGAGAUAUUGAAUCCUUAUAAUAAUAAAAUCAAUCAAAGACUUUCUUUUGUUUACUGCUGUCUAGUGUCAUAUAUAGAACCUGCUCGUAUAUAGUAACAUAUGUCAUGUGACCUUUCCGUUAAGCUCGUAUAUAGAACCUGCUCGUAAAGAUCUCAUUGUUUUAAGCUUUGAUUUUGAUUAACUGAUCACUGAUGCUUUCUCUUGUUUGUUAACUGAUGCUUUUUCUUGUUUGUUCUCUUAUAUUAGUGUUGUUAUGCUGGUUUUUUAUUACAUUGCUUUAUUAGUAUGCGAGGAAAUCUGCUUUUGUCGGCUUUGGUUUCAGGGUUAACUCAUUAUCUUGACGCAAUCUGUUUUAGAAAUAUGUCUUUUAUAAAAGUAUCAAUAGCAAGUAGACAGGUUGAAUUGAAUUUGCGAGACCAAGAAUAUUAAAUAUUUUCUCUUGUUCUCUUUUGUGUAGAUGAAUGCAGAUACUUUGAACCUGAACGAUGAUGACUAUUUGAGUGUUGAAGAUAUGAUGGCUGAAAAUGAAGAUGAGCAGAAUGCACAAGCUGAUUCUGUAACGAGUGCUGCUCAGGCUAGAGGUAACAAACGUAGACACUCGGUAUGUUGGAAGAACUUCACAAUUAUAGGAGAUAAGUUGUCUGAUGGUAGUCAUAACAUUAAGUGCAAUCAUUGCCAUGAGCUCUACAACAUAGAUCUAGGUAGGAAUGGAACUAGUACUUUGCUUAGGCAUUCGAGACGGUGUUCAAAGACUCCUGGAUCUACACCUGGUAGUAAUAGGAAGCUAGAUAUGAUGGUCUUCCGUGAGAUGAUGGCUAUUGCUAUAGUAGAGCAUAAUCUGCCUUAUGCAUUUGUCGAGUAUAGAAGGGUGAGAGAUGCUCUUGCUUAUGCGAAUUCAAGUAUUGAAUUUUGGAGUAGGAACACGGCUGUGUCUGAUGUGCUUAGGAUUUUUGAGAAAGAGAAAGCCAAUCUUAGGAAGGUGUUGACUGAAGUUCCUGGUAGGAUCAGUUUCACUACUGAUCUUUGGAGAGCGAUCACGGUAGAGGGAUAUUUGUGUCUGACAGCUCACUAUCUUGACGCAAACUGGAAGCUACACGCGAAGAUAGUGUCAUUUUGUGCGUUUCCUCCUCCUCACACUGGUGCAAGCAUUGCUAUGAAGUUAAUGGAGAUUUUGAAAGAGUGGGGCUUAGAUAAGAAGGUGUUUACUGUAACGGUGGACAACGCUACUUCAAAUGAUAAUAUGCAAGGGUUUUUAAAGAGACAGCUUCGUAAGGAUUUGGUUUGUAGUGGUGAGUUUAUGCAUAUAAGAUGCGCGGCACACAUCUUGAACUUGAUUGUUCAAGAUGGAUUAUCAGUGAUUGGUGAAGCUCUAGAGAAGAUUAGGGACAGUGUGAAGUUUGUAAAAGGUUCGGAGUCUAGGGAGAAGAUGUUUGAAGCUUGUGUGGAAACUGUUGGGAUUGUGAAUAAGAAUGAUGCUGGUCUUAUUUUGGAUGUGGCAACGAGGUGGAACUCGACUUUCUUAAUGUUGUCUAGAGCUAUUAAGUUUAAGGAUGCAUUGCGUAAUCUCUCUGAAGUUGAGCCAAGCUACAAGUGUUUUCCUUCAGAAUUGGAAUGGUCAAGAGAAGCACUAAUCAAAGAGUUCUUGUCUCCAUUUUCUGAGAUGACAAAGCUGAUUUCAGGCUCCUCAUACCCUACUGCCAACUUAUACUUUAUGCAAGUGUGGAAAAUAGAGAGUUGGUUGAGAGAGCAUGCGACUUCAGAUGAUGAGAUAAUACGUGACAUGGUGAAGAUCACGAGGCUUAAAUUCGACAAAUAUUGGGAUGAUUACAGUGAUAUACUUGCAAUUGCUGCUGUCUUGGAUCCAAGAUUGAAAUUCGGGUGCUUAGAAUACUGUUAUAACACUUUGAACCCGUCAACAAGCAAGGCUAAAGUGGAUCACAUUCGUAAGAAGCUGGAAAAGUUGUUUGGAGUGUACAAGAAGAAUACUAAGGCCACUACUACAACCACUUCAGAAACAACAAUGGAGAACAGUCUACCUGUCGGAUAUGGAGUAAGUUUUCAAUCAAAGUCACUUGUUUUGCUCAUUGGUUUGCUCUUAAGUCUUAAUCACUUUUUUUUUAAUGUUUAUACUAUAGGGAUUUUAUGCAUUCAUUACUCAAAAUUCAGGAGAAGGGAAAUUAGCUUUAGAUGUGUACUUGGCUGAACCGGUCAUGGAUAUGAUUGCCUUCCCGAAACUAGAUGUUUUGGAAUAUUGGAAAAAUAAUAAAGCUCGGUUUAAGGAGUUGUCUCGUAUGGCGUGUGAUGUUCUUUGCAUCCCCAUAACAACUGUAUCUUCAGAAUCUUCUUUUAGUGUUGGAAGCCGGGUCCUUACUAAGUACAGAAGCCGACUGCUACCAUCCAAUGUACAAGCUCUCAUCUGUACAAGAAACUGGCUCCGUGGGUUUGAACCAAUGAGUAAGUCGUCUCAUCUAGAUUUCAUGUUGAUUCUGCUAUGUGAAAUGCUUAGUUUGAGGAUGAACUUGUACUUGAUGCUUAGUUAGGGGAUGAACUUGUAUUCUUUUGUCACAGGUUUAACAAGGUUUGUGUACACCAGUAGAAGCGUAAGAUUUGAUCAAUUUGUCCAUUUUUCAUAGGUUAAAAGUUUUAGUUAGUUGUGAGAAAUGCUCUGAUUUUUUCUUGAUGUUGUUGUGAAAAAUGCUCUGAUUUUUGCUUGCUGUCUUUGCUUAGAUUUAUAUGAACUCUUUGCUUGUUUCUGUUAUGUAUAUAUAGUCAUUUGGUUUGAUUCCAAUCUUGUAUCUUUUGCUUGUUAAUAUGUUAGGUGAUUCCGAAGAUGAAGAUGAGAUUGAGGAGAAUGAAGAUGAAAAUAAAGAAGAAGGAGAACAAGAACAAGAAGACGGUGGAAGAAAGAAGAAGAAGAAGGUGGUGACCAAGUGAAGAAAUGAAACCCUCUUUGUUAUAAAACAAUGUUCUGAACUUGUGAAAUGUAUUUUCACUUUUCAAUGCUGUGUGAACUUGUCUUUUUUUAUCACUUUGAACUUAUCUUUUGAAUUUAUCUUGUGUUUUUUAUAACUUUGAAACAUGAAGUUGAAAACACAAGUAUAUCAUAUUUAUAAAUCUUUUUAACUGUAUAUGACAUCUUUAAAAUUGAAAAACUUAAGAAUUUUUGCAUCUUUAGAACUGAAAUAUAUUGUUUACAUUAAGUGGGCACAUGGACCGUCCAUUGAUAACCCAACAAAUCAUGGUCCUAUUUGGUUAUGGUCUCAUUUGGACAUGGUCCUAUUUGGACUCCGACCAAAAAUGUCCAGCAGAAAACUGAAGCCCAUUCGGACACACCCAAACCCGUCCAACCCACCCAUUCGGACACACCCAAACCCGCCCAACCCGCCCAUUUGGGAGUCCCAUCACUUUACCUUUGCUCUCCUGGGCUUUGAUCCGUCCAUGUCAUCACGUUACUCAUUUGAUUCUUGUCAUGGGGUUUUAUUUUGGGGUUUUACUAAUGUGAAAACACUAUAGUGUUUGUAAUAAACUCUUGCCACCUUUUAAUAUAAUGCACCAAAUGUUAGCAAAAAAAAAAACAUCUAGAAACAACAACAAAGAAAGAAUAAAAAAGGUAUUAUAGAUUAACUGUACCAUGCUAAUUUGCAUCCCCGUGGUUGCCAUCUUAAGGUAGGGUAGUCGAGAUCCGGCCGUCCAUUUUUCUUGCAACCGAAUUCGCGUCUUAUGAAUGGACACGUGGAAGGAUCGUAGAGAGGGUAGGAAGGAUCCUUCACCCACUGUCCAGUGAACAUAUCACAUCCCUUUGCAAGAAGAGGAAGAAGGAGGAGCAGCGACAACACUAACAUAGAGCCAUAAGAAAUGGCUUUAUCCUGUAAACCCAUUUCACCACAGACGAGAGCGAGAGAUAAAGAGAGAUUCAAAUACACACCUGGGAUUUUAUACACCAUAUGUAUAUAUUAUAUAUGUAUAUAAUUUUGUUGUUUGUUUUUCUGAGUCAAAUACAUGAACUAUAAUGCCAUAUAAUGCGAUAUUCGUUUUGGUAAGAAAUCUUGAAAUCAAAUAUGAACAGUUCUUUGUAUAUAUCUAGGCUAUGAAUGCUGACAAAUGAACGAAGAGGAAUAAUGCAUUCCUAAUAAAGUUUAUCAUUUAUAGGAAUACUUAUUUUUUUUCAUUUUUUUAUUGUAGAGAAUUAAAGAAUAAAUUUGUUCCUCGCUAAAUUUGAUAUAGAAUAACCAUUCUUCGUCAUUCUUACGUAAUUUUAUUUUCAUCCAUUAUUUUUCUAUUUAUUUCUAGUAUUCCUGAGAUGGUUGACCUCUGGUCUUUAGCGGCAUGAACUUUCUAUAAUGGUUUUUCAGAUGUUGAUUAUAAAAUUAUAGUAACAUAAUAUUCACGGUCAACAAAUUUAAUGAUAUUACCUUUAGUGCAAAAUUAAAUCAUGCUCUGAUCGGUUUGUUCGCACCAUAAAUAUUUUGUGAAGACGUUUCUUUGUGUUUUUUUUUUCAGUUUAAAAGGAUUUCAAUUUGCAGGUGCCACCCCGUGAAAAAACUUAUUGACCUACAUAUUAAUAUAUUUAAUCAAUUCAUUAAGUUUAGUUGAAAAUAGUUUUGUAUAGAGCAAUAUUCCAAACGGCAGUAUAGAUGGAUCUUAACAAAUACAAGCCAAUCAUUUGUGAACAGAGGUACAGAUGUUGUAAGAACUACAACAAUAUUUUCGUAUAACUUAUAUAAUCCAAAUUAACUGUUAUGGUUAGCAAUCAAACAUAGUUCCAAAGUGUGCCCAUGUGGGGUUAAUUAGGCUUCGGUCAAAACAGCCCUAAUUAAUAAAAGAAACAAUAAUUUAUCUUCAUUGGCAUUAUUUCAUCUAAAUUGUCUUGGACAUGUUGAUUCCCUUCAGCAAAAAUAUAUCUCAUAUUAUGUGCUUCAAGAAACAUAACCUUGUAAUUGUCUUAAAUACAAAUUUAUCACAAUUCAAAAGUAAAUUUUACAAAAAGGAAAACAAAAAGAAAAGACACAAUUACUUGCUUCAUAGUGUUUUUUUUUUUAACAUAAUGCAUAACUAAACGGCCCUAGAGUUCCAAUAAGCAGAAUCAGGCUUAAGAGGGUAAAGAUCACUGGCGUUGGCCGUGGAAGUAGAAGACGACGUGAAUGGCCCGUCGGUGCUGAUAGUCUGAUCCAACAUAUUCAUCUCCUCUUCAUUUAUCAUCGCGUAAUGCUUCUUCAUCGCCCUCACGCUCUCGUUAUCUUUCUCGCUUCCUUUGUUGAAGGAAGCUUCAAGAAGCUUCUCAACAUUCACCGUGGAACUUCCUUCGAGAAUGCUCACCACCGUCGACAUGGAUGGUCUUUCCGACGAAACUUGACUGGUGCAGAGGAUCCCUAUCUGGAUCAUGGUCAUUGCUUCUUCUCUGUUGUAAUCUGUUCCAAGCCUCGGGUCAACUACUUCCAUCAGUUUGUUUUGCUCCCUUAGAACGUGUACCUUUGGAAAUAUAUUGAGAUUCAGAGUCAUCAUUUUGUUUCAGAAAAGUAUUUAGGGUUUAGCGUUUAGAGUCAGAAAAAAUAAUAACUUACCCAGUCAAGAAGGUUAAAGGUCUCGACUCUGGAACGUGUGAUCGUGUUGCUUCUUCCAUGAACGAUUUCUAGGGCCACAACUCCAAAACUAUAGACGUCUGCUUUAUCUGUCAAAUGACCUUUCAUGGCGUAUUCUGGAGCCAUGUAUCCG